UGAUAUGUGAGCAGCCCCACGAACAGGCCCCUGUGGCCAGGAACUGAGGUCUCCUGACAACAGAUUCAUAGUUCCAGUUGAGCUUAUCCAGUUCCUUUGAGGUUAUCAUCACCCACUGUGCUCUGGUUUUCAUCGUUGCUAUCAAGGAGUUGGCUGCUCGUCUAACUGUUGAUUCUUUGGAGACGUUUCCUUGGACAAAUGGUCUCUUCCCCUUCCUCUGGGAAUCCAAAGCCUGAGUGAUCUGCAGACCUGAUGGGGAUGAGGAGCUGGGCUUAGAACACCCAGUGGCUGAAGCUACAGCAUCUUUUCU